GAUGAACGCUGGCGGCGUGCCUAAUACAUGCAAGUCGAGCGAACAGACGAGGAGCUUGCUCCUCUGACGUUAGAGGCGGACGUGUGAGUAACAUGUGGAUAACCUACCUAUAAGACUGGGAUAAUUUCGGGAAACCGGAGCUAAUACGGGAUAAUAUAUUGAAGCGAAUGGUUGAAUGGUGAAAGACGGUUUUGCUGUAACUUAUAGAUGGAUCCGCGCCGCAUUAGCUAGUUGGUAAGGUAACGGCUUACCAAGGCAACGAUGCGUAGCCGACCUGAGAGGGUGAUCGGCCACACUGGAACUGAGACACGGUCCAGACUCCUACGGGAGGCAGCAGUAGGGAAUCUUCCGCAAUGGGCGAAAGCCUGACGGAGCAACGCCGCGUGAGUGAUGAAGGUCUUCGGAUCGUAAAACUCUGUUAUUAGGGAAGAACAAAUGUGUAAGUAACUAUGCACGUCUUGACGGUACCUAAUCAGAAAGCCACGGCUAACUACGUG
rnacentral:rRNA from 1 species